UACGGAGGAGGCAAGCGUUAUCCGGAAUUAUUGGGCGUAAAGCGUCCGCAGGUGGCACUUCAAGUCUGUCGUCAAAGACUGGGGCUUAACCCCAGAAAGGCAGUGGAAACUGAAGUGCUAGAGUGCAGUAGGGGUAGAGGGAAUUCCCGGUGUAGCGGUGAAAUGCGUAGAGAUCGGGAAGAACAUCGGUGGCGAAAGCGCUCUGCUGGACUGCAACUGACGCUCAGGGACGAAAGCUAGGGGAGCGAAUGGG
rnacentral:rRNA from 1 species